rnacentral:lncRNA from 1 species
UGCGCACACUCACAGAGAGGCACAGAGGCGGUUAACUGUUGCAGUCUUGCUUCAGGGUCGCAUAAGAAGAGCACGUUUGGGAUUUUUUCCUUUAUAUAAUUAGCCACACAUUUGAUCUUCAGGGUCAUUUUGAGAACGGGGCAGGAACAGCUGAAGGAAGGGCAUGGGACCUGCCAUCCAUUUUCCUAGGGAAGACUGAAAGCGAUUUGCCCAAAGCUGAAGUUAGAAGCGAGCUUCCAGGCGGGAAUCCCAAGUACAGAAAUCCAAGAUCCCCUAAAUUCAGUGGGGUGAACAGUAGGGGCCAUCUCAUCAGUCCCCAUAAGCUCACUCUUUCACCCUGAGACCAUUGAGAGAUCCGGUAACCUCUGUACACUCAGAAUCCCAGGGCAAACUCCACACCGCGCUCCCUGACGAAACUGGGUUUCAACUCACAGUCUCUGCACUUUUUGCGCGCCACUUUUUGCUGCACUGCCGAGUCCAUCUUGUUACCAUCUGUUGCCACAGCAACCGCAGAGUGUGGCUCACACUCUAGUAAGAGGAACGAUGAUUGGAGGAGGCGGGCGUCCCUAGCAACCGCCAUAGGCACUAAAAGAUUCCAACUGCCAAGAGGGCUUCACCAAGAGUUUACCUCCGACCUUCGUUAGCUUCUUUUCGCCCUGUGGGCUCCAUCAACACAGACUGCAUUAUUUCCAUCCCUGCACUUAAAAUAGUAACCGGUCUGAGACGAACACCGCAUAAAUACUUGUUGGCUGCAUGAAGUGGCACACCGCAAUACCAGGAACCAGGGGUAACUGUGGGGGUGUGAAAGAGAGUUAAGACAGAAAAGCUUCUGUCUUCAGGGACUUUGGAUGCCUGUGGAAGAAAUGAAUUACAAACUGUACUGGCAAGCCAUGUGCAGAACUGGGUGGUUUCAUUUCUGAGUGUUAUGGGAAGUCAUUCUGCAACCCCCCCCAAAAGUUCCUUUAUUCUUUCUAUUGCAUCUCAAUUCAAGGUUGCACAUGUAAAAUACCUCCUGUAUACCAACCACUGAUAAGGAGCCAUCAAGACAGACAUCAACUCUGUCUGAGGAGCUUAUGCCCUGUGGACAGUAUGCCCAGCUCAGUUGACACUGGUGGCAAUCUAUGGCCUCCGAUGGCCACUGAGUUCUUGCCUUGUGUCUGCUCCUAACUAGAAGGUGGGAUAGAUGUGAACUUGUGUCAUAAAGACUUUGAGGAAAAGAAGAAUGAAAAAAAUACCUCUUUGCUAAUUUAAAAAAUAUUGAUUUCACAUUGAAAUGACGAAGUUUUAGAUAUGCUAGGUUGGACGUUUUGUUAUUAAAACCAAUCUUCAAUUUUC